GGCUCACUGGGGACGGGUACUGGCGGCUUGUGAGGAGACUGGAGGAUGGCACCUGCGAGAGGGGACAGGCAGACCCGAGGGCUCUGCCGGAGGCAUGAGAAGUGGUGCCUCAGACAUUAGAUGCAGGAAAGCCAGCCUGAAAUCCCAGCACUGAGGAAGCAGAGUCAGGAGCAUUGCAAGCUCCAGGCCCCUUGGCUGCAUAGUGAGACUGUGCACCUACAGAAAAUGAAUACAUAGAAUGAUACGAUACGCCAGUUUUACUUCUGGGUUCAUAUCCAAAAGUGAAGAGUUAGGGAGGCAUGGAUCACGAAAGGGGAAAUGGCUCCCUGACUUGGCAGGUUUUUGUUUUCAGAGGAAAUUUAGAGGCUGUUUGGGGGCGGGGCUUUUCUCAACAGGACCAAUAGGGAAAAGGAGAGGCCCCUGACUUCUUUGAAAUAUCCAAGCAAUUGUGUUUCUAGCAGACUCGUCUUAGACUUCUCCCAUCCCCGGCUGAAGCUGUUAGCUCCCUUUUCUCUGCAGCUUUCAUCUGUCUUUCCCGGAUGUUCUGUUCUUUGUUUAUGUCAGGGAACAAACCCAGCAAUCCUCCAAGUGGCUGCCUGUACCCCUGUAAUAGUUUUUGGGAUCUCUGCUCCAUGAUUUGAGAAGCCUUCUACUCAAGGUUGUAUACCUAAAUACAAAUGCAUAGGACUCAGAUGUGACCAUGACCCUUCUGGCCCUGAGGGUCCUUUCCUAGCGAGGGAAUCCCUUCUACCAUGGUUAGCAUAGUGGGGGUCCUCAGCUAGCCCCCCAUCGCAGAGGAGGCUAUGCUGUCACCUCUGCGCCGAGGGAGAGGGCAAAUGGAGUCCUAAGGAACAGACCAUCUCCCAGGGCGGAAGGGUGGGAGGGCAGACUCCCCAUGAGGUACACCUGGGAGGGUCCACAGGCAAGGGCACACCUGGGAGGGUCCACGGGCAUGAGGCACACCUGGGAGGGUCCACGGGCAUGAGGCACACCUGGGAGGGUCCACGGGCAAGGGCACUCUUCUCCUUUGUUGCUUCUUCACCCCACACAACAGCUAAGAGUGGGCACCUGGGAGUAGACGGUCUGUGGGGAAUGAAGGCCUGCUCAGUUUUCUGUUCCUUGUUGUAAAGUGAUGCUGGGUGGUGGCGGUAGCUCACACCCUUAAUGCCAGCACUUGGGAGGCAGGGCAGGCAGAAGUUUGAAGCCAUCCUCAGAGUGGGUUCCAGGACAGACUUCAAAGCUACGGAGAAACCCUGUCUAAAAAGAAGUGUUAACCAACCGGCUUGCUCUGAGGAGUGCCUGAACUACAAAUGGAGGCUGUGCCUGAGCUAGGAGGGAAAGUUCUGUCCUGUGGAAGAAAGCCUGCUUGGGCACAGGCGUCUCAGAGGGACUUCGGUUGUUUGUCUGGAGCUAUCAUGACUCCUGGAGGCUCAUCCUCACUCCUCCUUGAAGCUCUCAGGAGAGGUGCUGCUUAUUGUGAUCUUGAACCCUUGGCCUCACGUUAGUGUGGUAAGAUGUAAUGUGGAAAGCAGGAUAUGAAAAGCCAGUUCCUGUUGAAAGCUGGGCAGAAUAGCACUGGCCUGAAUGGAUGGGUCUGAAACUUUCCUGGCUGUGUCUAAGAGAACCCCUGAGCUGAAUGUAACCUGUGUCGGCUGGGUGACACUAAUCCCCAGGCCAAUUUAUGAAUUCUCUAAAAGCCUUCAGCCUGAUUGUCUUUGAACCAGAUAAGUAUGUGAUGGGCACCAGAAUCAAACCUGUGAGGAAGGACCCACCUGCCUGUCGGCUGUGGUUGAUAAUGCUGGCAGGCCUGGAGUUUCAGAGGGAAGCAAAGACUCUCCUAGGUGCUGUUUACGUGACUUGCUAUUUCUGAUUGUGAUUGUGCCUGCUUCUUCGCACUGGGAAUUAGAAGGCAUGUAAUUCUGUUUCCUGGGAUUUCUGUGCCAAGGAAUGAGGUCAGCCAUGGCCCACUAGCAUCCCCUUUACAAAAGCAUUGAAAGGAGGGGGGUAUGGACACAUUCUCGGAGUCCUGUGUUCCCAGAAGCUUAUUCCCAAUAGCUGAAAGAAAGAAGCGAGUUAAAUGCCCAUGGAGAGAUGACUGGGCCAGCAUCUCAUAGUAGAUCCAUCACGUGGAAUAUCACUCAGCUGAUGUCCAAGAUCUGAAAUGAGACAUGCCACAACAUGGAAGGGCCUUGAAGACACUAUCCGAAGUGAGACCAGCAAACAGAAUGGUCAUAUAUUAUGUGUUCCACUUAAAUUAGAGACUACCAGGUCACCUGAUGUCUGAGACGAUUCUGGAUAUUGAUAGACAUUGUAGAUUCCCCCUCUACUCACCACCACAAAAAGCACAGUCCUGAGUGGUCUGAACUGAACAUGAAUCCACAGAGACCAACCCAUAGACAUCAUCAGUGCUACAAACACGUUUUGACUCAUGCUGGGCUGAAGCCCAAAAGGUUCAACCAUGGAAAGGGGAACAGCUGCCAGUGACAAUUCAUCUCACAAUGGGAUCACAGAGCAGGGACCACCAGGACUCAUUUCUUUCAGACAUACUGUCCCCUUGCCUGGCCUCUCCGCUCUUUUUACCCAGGGUUUUAAACUGGACCAGGCUUUGGUAUCAAGUGUGUGUGUGUACACAAAGCCUGAGGUUGGCAUUGGAUGUCUUCCGCUAUCACCUUCCACCUCUUUUCUGAGACUCACUGGCCAGAAGCUUAUCAAUUUAGCAAGACUAUGAAGCCUGCAAGCCCGGGACCUGCCCAUCUCUGCCUUCCCAGCGCUAGGUUUACAGGGGCAGUGCUGUGUGUGGCAGCGAGGUCAGCAAGGGGUCGUUCAUCGGGCCAGAAGGACAGGUGACCCUAGAGCCCCUAGGUCACCUCAGUGUUACCAGUCAGCACCUCUCAUGACUCCCUAGAACACUCAAAGGGGCUCCAGCCAGGAAGGAGGAUGUCCCAAGGCUGGGGAACCUGUCCUCCCAGGGAUGGGCUCACUGACAGCCAGAAAAUGUUCAGUGCGUACCAGUCCUUCCCUCCUGGGACCAGGCGACAGGAGUUAAGUAUGCUUCCAACCUGACCUGGUGUACAGCCAGGGACACUCAAAGAGCCCCAUGGAAUACUAUGUGAUACCAGGGUGCUUUCCUUCCCUGGCACCCCUUCCAGGCUGCCACUAGAGGCUCUGAAGAUGACCCCAGGCAGGACGGGCACAGGAAGCACAGAGCUGACUGACAAGUCCGAUCUAGAGCUAGGAGGGUCCCAGUGCUGGCUUAUUCAUUCGCAUCGAUUUUAACUUUCUCUCUCCUUCAGGCUCACAGACAGAUAAUGAAGACAAAUCCACAGAUCAAUGGAAAUGGGGUUGCGGGUGUGGAAACCCUGUUGUCCCUGGCCUAGAAUGAGGAGC